rnacentral:rRNA from 1 species
CGGGGGGGGGGCAAGCGUUGUUCGGAAUUACUGGGCGUAAAGGGCGUGUAGGCGGUCCUGCAAGUCUUUCGUGAAAUCCCACAGCUCAACUGUGGAACUGCGAGGGAAACUGCAGGACUUGAGUCCGGGAGAGGAGGGUGGAAUUCCCAGUGUAGCGGUGAAAUGCGUAGAUAUUGGGAGGAACACCGGUGGCGAAGGCGGCUCUCUGGACCGGCACUGACGCUGAGGCGCGAAAGCUAGGGGAGCAAACGGGAUUAGAUACCCCGGUAGUCCUAGCCUUAAACGAUGAGCACUUGGUGUGGCGGGUAUCGACCCCUGCCGUGCCGAAGCUAACGCAUUAAGUGCUCCGCCUGGGGAGUACGGUCGCAAAGGCUG